AGUGAACGCUGGCGGUAGGCCUAACACAUGCAAGUCGAACGAAGAACCUCCCUUCGGGGAGGGGACGAGUGGCGAACGGGUGAGUAACACGUGGGCAACCUGCCCCUCGCACUGGAUAACCCGGGAAACCGGAGCUAAUACCGGAUAACGACCUUCUCGGGCAUCCGAAGAGGUGGAAAGGAUUCUGGUCUGGGAUGGGCCCGCGGCCUAUCAGCUUGUUGGUGGGGUAAUGGCCUACCAAGGCGACGACGGGUAGCCGGCCUGAGAGGGCGACCGGCCACACUGGGACUGAGACACGGCCCAGACUCCCUACGGAGCAGCAGUGGG
rnacentral:rRNA from 1 species